rnacentral:ncRNA from 2 species
AUAGCCCCUUCGUACGAAAGGAGUUGGGUAUGCUGAUCUAUGGUUUACCUGUUGUUUAAUAUUGAUAUUAUGUAUCUUAUACUAUUUUCACUUAAGUAGUAUUGUUUAUUAAGCAUGGCAGGAAAGCUAAGUCAGUUAGAGAUAAGUGCUGAAUGCAUUUAAGCGCGAAGCUUA